UACGGAGGAUUCAAGCGUUGUCCGGAUUUAUUGGGUUUAAAGGGUGCGUAGGCUGUAAGGUAAGUCAGCGGUGAAAUGCCCCCGCUCAACGGGGUGAAGUGCCAUUGAUACUGCCUUGCUGGAAUGCGGAUGCAGCAGGCGGAAUGUGUAGUGUAGCGGUGAAAUGCAUAGAUAUCACACAGAACACCGAUUGCGAAGGCAUCUCACGAAUCCGCGAUUGACGCUGAUGCACGAAAGCGUGGGUAUCAAACAGG
rnacentral:rRNA from 1 species